AACAUAGCAGUGAUUAUAAAAAUUCCUCGUUCUGAAUUGCUAUAGGCCUAUAGCCAUGGCAUGAUAGACUCAUCUAUACACCCAUAGAAUAUGAGCGAUU
rfam:Spinacia oleracea cultivar SynViroflay scaffold81558.con0001.1, whole genome shotgun sequence.